GUGAGUGUUGUGGAAGAAAACGUUUGGGAUAAGAGUACUGGGUCAGUAAGCUGGGUCAAAUUUCUGAGCUGUGCAGUGGAGCUGGGGAGACAUGCUCAGGAUUUCCUGAGGCAUGAAGAUGGACUUUAAAUAACAGCCAUGUGAUGGGCAAGAUCUUAUCUUGGUGUUUACCAGGGUACCUGCCUACUUUCACCUGGUUGGAGUUACCGUAGUGAGGAGUAAUACUUGCAUCAUCUGGAGUUUGUGGCCACGCACAGACAUCCCCUUCUGAAUCCAGCUGCACGAGUGGAAGGCAUUACUCUUUGUGUGAGGUAUGGUCAGCUGGGCUCACUCACAUCACCAGUGGAAACCGUGGGAGCUGAACCCAUCGAUUUUGUCUGAAACAGAUUAAGGAAUACUAAUACCAAUGGCUCUGCCAGCAAAACUACGGGGUGAGAACUCCAUCAGGCAGAAAGUGAAGAGCAUCAGGGAGGUACUGGGAAGAGGAAAUCUCUCCCCCUUCAGGGCUGGCCUUGGAGGAGGACGUCUGCCAAAAAAGGAAUGGCUCCAGAGAAGCAGAGUGGCUCAGUGGUGUCAGUGGCAGGAGCUGCCUCACUCUCCUCGUACAGACAGACUUGGAGCAGAACAGUCUUGUUCAUUCCCGGUCUGAGACAAUACCCAUUCAAAUAGAUGGAACUAAUCCCACUAACAAGGGCGUGCUGAACAGCCUUUGGCUGCUCCUCUAAGACUGCUGACAAGGGCCAGUAGUGACUGUGGG
ensembl:lncRNA